rnacentral:rRNA from 2 species
UACGUAGGGUGCGAGCGUUAAUCGGAAUUACUGGGCGUAAAGCGUGCGCAGGCGGCUCUUUAAGUCAGAUGUGAAAGCCCCGGGCUUAACCUGGGAACUGCGUUUGAAACUGGAGGGCUGGAGUGUGGCAGAGGGAGGUGGAAUUCCACGUGUAGCAGUGAAAUGCGUAGAGAUGUGGAGGAACACCAAUGGCGAAGGCAGCCUCCUGGGCCAACACUGACGCUCAUGCACGAAAGCGUGGGGAGCAAACAGG